rnacentral:rRNA from 1 species
AGGACGAACGCUGGCGGCGCGCUUAAUACAUGCAAGUCGAGCGAGAACCAGGGCUUCGGCUCUGGGGACAGCGGCGAACGGGUGAGUAACACGUGGGUAAUCAACCCCCGACACCGGGAUAGCCCAGGGAAACUUGGAUUAAUACCGGAUGCUCCGUCUGGCUUUAGGGCCGGCCGGAAAAGGGUAGCUUCGGCCUCCGGUCGGGGACGAGCCCGCGGCGGAUUAGCUUGUUGGUGAGGUAAAGGCUCACCAAGGCGACAAUCCGUAGCUGGUCUGAGAGGACGAUCAGCCACACUGGGACUGAGACACGGCCCAGACUCCUACGGGAGGCAGCAGUGGGGGAAUAUUGGACAAUGGGCGAAAGCCUGAUCCAGCAAUGCCGCGUGGGUGAAGAAGGUCUUCGGAUUGUAAAGCCCUUUCGACGGGGACGAUGAUGACGGUACCCGUAGAAGAAGCCCGGCUAACUUCGCGCCAGCAGCCGC